UAAUACCGCAUACGUCCUUCCGACCCAGUUGGAAUGAUGAAAGGUGGGGACCUUCGGGCCUGCCGCUGAGAGAUCGGUCCGCGUCCCAUUAGCUUGUUGGUGGGGUAAUGGCCUACCAAGGCUGUGAUGGGUAGCCGGCCUGAGAGGGUGACCGGCCACACUGGGAUUGAGAUACGGCCCAGACUCCUUCGGGAGGCAGCAGUCGAGAAUCUUCCACAAUGGACGAAAGUCUGAUGGAGCGACGCCGCGUGAGUGAUGAAGGCCCUACGGGUUGUAAAACUCUGUCAGGAGAGAAGAAUCGCCGGGGUGCCAAUACCACCCUGGUCUGACGUUAUCUCCAGAGGAAGCUCCGGCUAACUCCGUGCCAGCAGCCGCGGUAAUACGGGGGGAGCAAGCGUUGUCCGGAAUUAUUGGGCGUAAAGGGCGUGUAGGCGGCCUGGUCAGUCGAAUGUGAAAUCCCACGGCUCAACCGUGGAAUUGCGUUCGAUACUGCCUGGCUUGAGUAUGUGAAAGGUGUGCGGAAUUCCUGGUGUAGCGGUGGAAUGCGUAGAUAUCAGGAAGAACACCGAUGGCGAAGGCAGCACACUGGCGCAAUACUGACGCUGAGGCGCGAAAGCGUGGGGAGCAAACAGGAUUAGAUACCCUGGUAGUCCACGCUGUAAACGAUG
rnacentral:rRNA from 1 species